CAGUCGCCGCGGUAAUACGGAGGGGGCUAGCGUUGUUCGGAAUUACUGGGCGUAAAGCGUACGUAGGCGGCUUUGUAAGUUAGAGGUGAAAGCCCGGGGCUCAACCCCGGAAUUGCCUUUAAGACUGCAUCGCUUGAACGUCGGAGAGGUGAGUGGAAUUCCUAGUGUAGAGGUGAAAUUCGUAGAUAUUCGGAAGAACACCAGUGGCGAAGGCGGCUCACUGGACGACUGUUGACGCUGAGGUACGAAAGCGUGGGGAGUAAACAGGAUUAGAUACCCCGGUAGUCCCUGUCUCUUAUAC
rnacentral:rRNA from 1 species